GACGAACGCUGGCGGCGUGCUUAACACAUGCAAGUCGAACGGAAAGGCCCUGCUUUUGUGGGGUGCUCGAGUGGCGAACGGGUGAGUAACACGUGAGUAACCUGCCCUUGACUUUGGGAUAACUCCAGGAAACUGGGGCUAAUACCGGAUAGGACCUCCUGCUGCACGGUGGGGGUUGGAAAGUUUCGGCGGUUGGGGAUGGACUCGCGGCUUAUCAGCUUGUUGGUGGGGUAGUGGCUUACCAAGGCUUUGACGGGUAGCCGGCCUGAGAGGGUGACCGGCCACAUUGGGACUGAGAUACGGCCCAGACUCCUACGGGAGGCAGCAGUGGGGAAUAUUGCGCAAUGGGCGGAAGCCUGAUGCAGCAACGUCGCGUGCGGGAUGACGGCCUUCGGGUUGUAAACCGCUUUCGCCUGUGACGAAGCGUGAGUGACGGUAAUGGGUAAAGAAGCACCGGCUAACUAUGUG
rnacentral:rRNA from 1 species